rnacentral:rRNA from 1 species
UACGUAGGGUGCGAGCGUUAAUCGGAAUUACUGGGCGUAAAGGGUGCGCAGGCGGCCGCGCAAGUCGAGUGUGAAAGCCCCGGGCUUAACUUGGGAAUUGCGCUCGAAACUACGUGGCUGGAGUGUGGCAGAGGAAGGUGGAAUUCCACGUGUAGCGGUGAAAUGCGUAGAGAUGUGGAGGAACACCAAUGGCGAAGGCAGCCUGCUGGGCCAGCACUGACGCUCAUGCACGAAAGCGUGGGGAGCAAACAGG